UGUUGAGGUACUAUUUGACGACAACCACUCUAUGCGUUCUUCGAGAUCAGACAAAUCAGUUUUUUUUAAUUUUUGCUGAAAACGAUCGUGAACCCAAUUUUUUUUACCAACUGCAACCAAUGAUCCAUCUACUUCCGCCAAGGAACCAAAACCAGGCUCCGUUAAUUGACCUGUUGUGCUCGGCAAUUCCAAUUUCAGUAACUCAGCUUUAUUUAGGAUAGACUUUGCAAUUGGAUGAGAUGCGG
rnacentral:misc_RNA from 1 species